UGCAUAUUUACAAUUGAUAUUAGACAAUAUCGCUAUAAGAUAUAAGAAAAGUUUUUAUCGAUUCGCUUCUUCCAUAGACUGAACACUCUUUGAUCCAAUGGCGCUUUUAUCCCGGUAGACCAAGUUUGUCGAAUAUUUAUUGAAUUUAUUGUUAUUUGUCAUCAUCCUGAAUAUACGUGAAGUAUUUGUUGCGAUGAUUACCAAGCAAACAACAGUCCAUCAACCAUACAGUUAUAAUAAAAACUAAUAUUGUACAAAAUGAUAAAAACAGGUUUUAAGAUGGAAAAAUAUAUAUUGAAAAAUAUCAAUGUUAAAAUGUUGUCUUUAUUAAGAUUUGGUGUAUUAAAACUAAAUAUGGAAACUGGUCGUACAUAAAACAACGAAGGGAGGAUAGAAUUUGUAAAUGUUGUACUAUGCAAUGUAUAGAGAACGAAUAUCAUUUUAUUAUGGUUUGUCCAGCAUAUAGACAGUAUAGACUUAAAUACUUCUCAAAACAUUAUCAUACAUGGCCAAAUAUCAACAAACUGUAUUCACUUCUACAAGUUCAAACAAAAACUGUUAUUUACAAUUUGAUAUGUUUUUU
rnacentral:lncRNA from 1 species